CUUGGUUCUAACAAAUGUUUCCUACAUGAAACAUGUUUCUAGACUUCCCGGGCACAAAACGGAGUCCUGGUCCUCUUUCCCUACAUUAGAAGCCUCUUCUUGAGAGCUCCGUCUUUGUUUGGAGGGGGAAGAAAGAGUGAAAUAUACUGUGGAGAAGUCCACAGCUGCCGCCGCUCCAGGAACACGUGUACCACGGCGUAUCAUGUCACGGUGCGCUGUGGGGAAUAGUAAUGAAUAGUUUGGACCACAAUAAUGUGCAUUGUUGAUGUUUGUUAAAAUAAAGAUAUUCAAUUUAUAAUAAAAGGGAUUAAAAGCUUAAUUCAUGCCUAUGUUAAUAUUUGCCUGCAAGUACACAGAUAAACCGGGACGCACCUUAUCACGUUGAACACCUGCGCGCCCAAGUUCCUCCGCGGAGAUCUCCACGGGAUCGCAGGCUUUGCAGAGCUUAAACUUUCAUUUCCCAAAAUAAUGAUAUCAUUCAUUUACAGAUAUAGAUAGGCUCUCCUCACUCCAACUCUAUCCUGAAACGAGCAUUGUGACUUCAGCUACGAAAAUACAGGAUUAAUUGCGGCAGUGACACGCCACGAUUUUCCCGCUGCGGUAACAGAGGAAAAACCACAGGCCAGCCAGCAGCGUCUGCACGUCUGCCGUCUGCGCGUCUGCAGGACGCACGCGGCACCCCGAGGACGCUGCCCCCAGCGGAGGGGUACAGGUGAACCCGACUUCGUGCAAAGUGGCCGGUCACAGAUGCUUGUAAAUUGAAUCCUAUUUUAAAAUGUUCCAGGGGAGUUUGCUCUUUGAAACGGUCUGUGAUGAAUUCUUUGGGAGAAGUGUCCUGAUGAAAAAUUAAGAAAUGUUUAUGAGCAACUCUGCCUUGAUCAUCCUGGAGCUAAUUACCCGGACGAUGCAAAGAUUAGAUGAGGCUGUGCUUUCAUUUAGCUUCAGAAAAAAACAAGAAGGAAACAACUAGAGGUGCUAAGCUACACUUUAUUCCUCAGAGUGCAUGCUACACAGAUGGCAGACUAUCUAUGUAUCUAAAGGUCUCGGUUGUGUCAGUGUCCUGGGGCUGCCAUAUCAAAGCGCCCCAGGCUGGGGGCUUAAACGACGGAACUUAGUUCUCGCUCAGUCCUGGAGGCAGCAGUCCGGGACCCAGGGGUGGCAGGGCCGUCUCCCUCUGGAGGCGCUGGGGGAGCGUCUGUCCAGGCCUCUCCAAGGCUCCCAGUGGUUCCUCGGCUUGUGGCAGCACAGGUCUAGUCUUCCAUGGCGUCCUCCCUGUGGUCUCUUCUCUGUGUCCAAACCUCCCCUUUUAUAAGGACGCCCGUCACUGGAUUAGGGCCACCCUCCCCCAGGAGGACCUCAUCUAACUAAUUGCAUCUGCAAUGACACUGUUUCCAGCAUCACAUUCUGAGGUUCUGGGGGUUAGGGCUUCAAGGUAUGAAUUACUGAGGACAUGAUUCAACCCCUAACGCUGGUGUUAGCAGGUACUGUUUAGGGCGAGGCAGAUGGCAGAGAUCAGCACAGGCCAGUGGGCAGAGCAGACGCUGCCACGCCCAGGGAGGUGGCCCGGAGGAGCCAGGCCCUGAGCCAGGGCUGUGCUGCGAUCACCCAGCUGGUUUAUGUUGCCAGACGUUUAUGAGUCUACAAGAAGGGGAGAAGUGUGGACUGGCCCAUAGUCCCUCAUGGAGUAAGGCUGGGAGUAGAGGCAGGUACGUGGGGUAGACCAGGAGCUCCCGAUAUCUCAGGACAUCAGGGAGGGGACAGGUCUUUGGUAAAUUGUGACAUCUGCUGAGGUCAGACAAGUGCCUCCUGACUGUGGGUGGAUUACCUUCUGCAAAGAUGGUCUUCCAGCCCAAACAUGACAGCUCGUGGCCCAAGGGUGUGUUUGCCCGCAUGGAGGCUUGUUCGGGGCCUGGUGGAAAUGAGUGAGCCCGGAGAGGGAAUGGUUUUGACAGUACAGCUGCAUAGAGAGGGAGCGUCCCCUUGUCCUUCCGUCAGCCGGGCUUUGCGUUAAGCCUGUUGUGUUCACGGUGGAAUUUGACCAGCUCCCAAGUGGAAGCCCUGAUCCCGUUGUUUAGAUAAGGACGCAGGGGCUUAAAUGGGGUGUUGAGUAAUCUGCUCUAAGGGUCUCAGCUGUGGGAUGGGUCUUGCCCCAUUGGUUUGGGUGCAGAGGGCAUGCUCCCACCGGCAUGCUAUCAACUCCAUCUGCCAGCCCCACAAGAGGAUUCAGAAGGACGCCUUGGAGAAGGCCUUGCAGAUGAGGGGAGAGAGGACCAGGACAGGCUCUACAGUUUGGACGAGAGCCUGGGGAGUGGCCUCGUUGAACCAGGGGUCAGCUUUUCAGCGGCAACAGUUGCUGUGUACUG
ensembl:lncRNA